UACGGAAGGUCCGGGCGUUAUCCGGAUUUAUUGGGUUUAAAGGGAGCGUAGGCCGGAGAUUAAGCGUGUUGUGAAAUGUAGACGCUCAACGUCUGCACUGCAGCGCGAACUGGUUUCCUUGAGUACGCACAAAGUGGGCGGAAUUCGUGGUGUAGCGGUGAAAUGCUUAGAUAUCACGAAGAACUCCGAUUGCGAAGGCAGCUCACUGGAGCGCAACUGACGCUGAAGCUCGAAAGUGCGGGUAUCGAACAGGAGUAGAACCCCCAGAGUCCGGCUACUGACU
rnacentral:rRNA from 1 species